rnacentral:piRNA from 1 species
UCUUAAUAAUAAUUAGAUGCCAACUUUUC